GGGUUGUGAGGUUAAGCGACUAAGCGUACACGGUGGAUGCCCUGGCAGUCAGAGGCGAUGAAGGACGUGCUAAUCUGCGAAAAGCGACGGCGAGGUGAUAUGAACCUUUGACCCGUCGAUGUCCGAAUGGGGAAACCCAGUGUGAUUCGUCACACUAUCGUUAACGGAAUACAUAGGUUAACGAGGCGACCCGGGGGAACUGAAACAGCUAAGUCCCCCGAGGAAAAGAAAUCAACCGAGAUUCCCCCAGUAGCGGCGAGCGAACGGGGAGCAGCCCGGAGUCU
rnacentral:rRNA from 1 species